AGCAGCCGCGGUAAUUCCAGCUCCAAUAGCGUAUAUUAAAGUUGUUGCAGUUAAAAAGCUCGUAGUUGAAUUUCGGGGUUAGUAGGUUGGUCAUGCCUCUGGUAUGUACUGGUCUCACUGAUUCCUCCUUCCUGAUGAGCCGUAAUGCCAUUAAUUUGGUGUUGCGGGGAAUCUGGACUGUUACUUUGAAAAAUUAGAGUGUUUAAAGCAGGCUCACGCUUGAAUACAUUAGCAUGGAAUAAUGAAAUAGGACGUUCGAUCCUAUUUUGUUGGUUUCUAGGAUUGACGUAAUGAUUAAUAGGGAUAGUUGGGGGCAUUAGUAUUCAAUUGUCAGAGGUGAAAUUCUUGGAUUUAUUGAAGACUAACUACUGCGAAAGCAUUUGCCAAGGAUGUUUUCAUUAAUCAAGAACGAAAGUUAGGGGAUCGAAGACGAUCAGAUACCGUCGUAGUCUUAACCAUAAACUAUGCCGACUAGGGAUCGGAUGAUGUUAAUUUUUAAUGA
rnacentral:rRNA from 1 species